rnacentral:rRNA from 1 species
AGUGAACGCUGGCGGUAGGCCUAACACAUGCAAGUCGAACGGCAGCACAGUAAGAGCUUGCUCUUACGGGUGGCGAGUGGCGGACGGGUGAGGAAUACAUCGGAAUCUACUUUUUCGUGGGGGAUAACGUAGGGAAACUUACGCUAAUACCGCAUACGACCUACGGGUGAAAGCAGGGGAUCUUCGGACCUUGCGCGAUUGAAUGAGCCGAUGUCGGAUUAGCUAGUUGGCGGGGUAAAGGCCCACCAAGGCGACGAUCCGUAGCUGGUCUGAGAGGAUGAUCAGCCACACUGGAACUGAGACACGGUCCAGACUCCUACGGGAGGCAGCAGUGGGGAAUAUUGGACAAUGGGCGCAAGCCUGAUCCAGCCAUACCGCGUGGGUGAAGAGAGCCCUCGGGUUGUAAAGCCCUUUUGUUGGGAAAGAAAAGCAGCAGGUUAAUACCCCGCUGUUCUGACGGUACCCAAAGAAUAAGCACCGGCUAACUUCGUG